AAGAAACCAAAACUGAAAAUCAGAUUUUGGUUUUAAAUUUUAAUUUUGAUUUAAAAAAAAAUUUUACUUUAGGAAGGCAUCCACCAUGAAACAUGGAAUUGUCAUCACCACAAAUUCUGUUUAAAUUCUUCCAAUUUUUGAAAGCUUUGAGUUGCUAAUGUUUGAUUCUGUUGUAUUACUGCUAAACAGUAUGCAUGGAAAACAAAAUAAAGAUAAGAAUUCUUUAGAAUAAAUGAGCCAGUUAUGAUGAAUCAAGGAAAAAAGAAAAAGAAGUGAUAGAGUUUGGGUUUAGUGUGGAAAAAAACCAGUGGGACUCCGAACAGUAGACUCAUACUCAAGGAAAAAGCCUUUGCCCUACAUCAAAAGUGGGUCUAUAUUUGUAUGUUUUAAGUUAAAAGUAUCUGAAUACUUUGAAUUUGAAUUUGAUUAUGAAUUUGAAUACAUAUGAAUGUUUUUUUCUUGAUUCUACUCUGUAAUUCACUUUUCAAAUUAACCUGCAAAUUACUGGUUCCAGUCACAUAAGCUAAAUUGGUUUUUCCCUCGUAGUGUUUUUGACGGAUUAUAUCGAGCAAUUGAUACUAUACCUGGCAUACUGAAAGCAUUUGAUCGUUUUAAAACACAGCAAUCCUAUAAGGUAGAUAGGAUUUUUUUUUCUUAUUAUCCUGAUUUUACAUAUGAUAAAUCAGGUUCUGAGAUUUUAAGUGAUGUGUCCAAGAUCAAACGCCAGUAAGUGGCAGAACCAGGAAGAACCCAGAUCGUCAAUUUGUAAUGACUCUAGGUUGUAUCUAGAAGAUUAUUUUUCUAAAGUUCGUUUGUCUGAAAGCUUUAACUUUGUCUAGUAAAAUCUUGCUGAUAAAGUGCUAGACUUACAGAUGAACAAAUUUCGUUUUCUUCUAGUCCUGGUUGUACCCCAUGUCCACUAGAUAAUUUAAUUAAAAAUCAUAUCUUCUCUUCCAAUGAAAAAUAAAUAAUAAAUCUAUUUCCUGCUUAUCUCAGUAGAUAGGAUUUAUUGAUGCACAAUGAAGAUUAAAAAGCACCCAGAAGACUUCAAAAUAACAUGAAGUACUAUCGUGUCUGCUUUCAAAAAAUUACAUGGCUACAGAUAUAGAGGUCAUAAUCUCCAUAAUUCUGGGUGACACCAAGAGCAUCCCUGGAACCAUGUGUUGAAGAUGACAUCCCAAGCGCGUCAGUAACUAUAUGGAGCAGAGCACUCUCCUCCCUGCCCCUGGUCCCACAGAUCUUGAGCAUCCUAACCUAGAUGCCCCUGGACUGUUAGAUGGUUUCAAGGCAGCUGCCACUAAAUUGAGAAAGAGAAGCUUAGGGGCAAGGAAGCAAAGUAAUGAAACAGGCUUAAGGACUCUGUCCAGAAGAGAACUCUGGGUGUGGCCCCUGGCAUGUGGAACUGGAUAGAAGCAAAUAGAUUAAAUGCCUUGUAAGUUUUUGAAGUGAGAGUAUUCCUGAAGAAACCAUAGGAAGCCUGGUCUAAAAAAAGUCUUUGUUAAAAUAAAACAAAUCUUGGGCUCCCAGACUUGCAGUCAUCAGGCUGUAAAAGCUGAAUCGUCCUUGAAGAAGGCAUACUCCUUAGUACCUACUUUAGAAUUUCUAUUUAUCACAGGUUUUUAGUAUUUCAAUUAGGAUGUGUUUUAGUGUAGUUUUCUGAAAGUAUCAUUUGCUUGAAGUUCAUUGAACUUCUUGGAUUGGUAAAUUUAUAGUUUUCAUGAAAUUUGGAAAAAUGUUGACCAUUAUGUCUUUUCCACCUCUCAAUCCCACCACUUUUGAGGCUCCAGUUACACAUAUGUUAGGUCGCUAGAUAUUGCCCCACAGCCCACUAGUGCUCUGUUCAUUGUCUUUUUCAGGCUUUUUUCUCUGUGUGUUUCAUUUUAAGAGUUUCUACUGCUAUGUCUUCAAUCUGCUAAUCUUUUCUUCUACAGUAUCUAAUCUGUUAAUGCCAUACAGUGUAUUUUUAAAUUUCAGAUAUGUUUUUAAUCUCUGGAAGUUUGAUAUGGGUCUUUUAUAUAUCUUCUAUUUUCCUCCUCAUCAUGUUCAUGCUUUCCUCUACCUUCUUAAGCAUACAGAGUACCUUUAUAAUAACUAUUUUAACAUCCCUGUCUAUUAAUUCUAUCAUCUAUGUGGUUUCUGGGUCUUUCUUUUGACUGAUUUUCCUCCUGGUUCUUUGCAUGCAUGAUAAUUUUUGAUUGGCGUUGUGAAUUUACUUCGUUAGGUGCUGAACUUUGUUGUAUUCUUUUAAAUAUUUGGGAGGUUUUCUUCUGGGGCACAGGAAUUGAUUUGAUCCUUCUGGGGCUUGCUGUUAAGCUUUGUUAUGACAGACACAGAGCAGGCACUAGCCUGGGGCUGAUUUGGCCCCACUAUUGAGGCAAUACCCGUCUGAGGACCCUACAUAGUGCCCUGUAUUACAAGGUCUUUCCACUCUGGCUGGUGGGAACACAAACAAUUCCCAGUCAUAUGUGAGCUCAACGGAUUUUUCUGCUUAUUCUUUUCUGAUGGGUUUUCCCUCAGUGCUGACGAGUUUCCUCACUACUGAGUACUAUAGAUCAGUACUCAGCCUUCAAAUCAAAGGACUCCCUGCAGAUCUCCAAAGCUCUCUCUGUAUAGCUCCUUCCCUUCUAGCCCCCUUGACCUUCUUGAACUCUGAAUUACGUCUCCUCAGGUGGCUGGGCUCUCUUCGGGUUUCCUCUUCCUGUGCUGUGGCCUGGAAACUCUUUUUAGGUAGACAGCUGAGAAACUUGAAGGGCUCACUUUGGUUCUCUUCUCUUAGAGGUCACCGUCCUGUGUUACUUGUUGUCCAAUAUCUGUAAAUUGUUGUUUCCUAUAUUUUGCCCAGUUUCCUAGUUUUUUAAGGCAGGAAGGUAUAUCUUGUCCUAGUUAUUCCAUCAUCAUUGGAAGCAGAAGUCUCAACACCCACUUCAGAUGAGGUUAUGGAGGAGAGUGCAUAAGAAAGUACCACAGUCUGGGACUUAACAUUGGCUGGGUUCUCUCAAAUAUUUUUUCCUCACCUUUAUUGAGGUAUAGUUGACAAAUAAAAAUUGUACACAUUUAAGGUGUAUGACUUGAUAUUUUGAUAUACAUGUACAUUGUGAAAUAAUUGUGAAUAUAUGCAUCACCUCACAUAGUUACCAUUUUCUUUUCGUGUGUGUGCGUGCGCGUGUGGUGAGAACUCCUAAGAUCCACCCCUUCGGCAGUCUCUCAGAUCCUGACACUCUCCUUUAGCAACCUACAAGUCAGUUCCUCGGCUUCAGGGAGGACAUCAUCACCUGGCCUAUUCUUGUCCUCUUUAUCCUGUUUCUGCCAUCAUUCCAGGCAUCUAUAAAAUCCUCAUAGCUGUCCAACCCAAUAAUAACAGCUGCCACUUAUUGAGCCCACUGUGCCAGAUACUUUACAUAUGCUGUCUUCUCAUAUUGCUCCUACAAGAUAAGUAUUAUUUUCUCCCUUUUUUAAAAAAAAAAAAUAAGGAAACAGAGGCUGAGUGGGUGAAGCAACUUGUUCAAAUUCAUUUGUUAUUAAGGGACAGAACAAAAUUUGAGGAUAACUAUUGCUCAUUUUACUACAUCAUACAUCCUGUCAAUUAGCUUUACAAUUCCUAGAUAUCCUCUCCUGCAGCAACCUUCGCCUCCGGUUCACUCCAGCAAUUCGUUCCCAUGAAUCGAUCUAAUCACCACCUAAAACUUUGAAAUGUUGCACAGAGAACUCUCAUUUGAACACACCCUAUUAUCCUUUCCGCUCUUCCACAUCUUAGAAAUCUCAAACCUUAAUCUUUCCCCCUGGUUUUCUUUUUCUAGUUUCCUUUUCUUAUCAACUCAGUAAAGUUAUCACUCAAUAACACUCUCACAAGGGCCUUCCUUCCCUGGUUCCUUUUUACCUGCCCCAUCAAUCCUUAACCCUAGAUGAAUCCAAACACUUACUUUCUCCCCUCCUGGACCACUGAGUCAGGAUGGAGAAAGAUCUAUUCAAUACGCAACUCAGAAUUGAGUUCUGCUCAAUACCUUUUUACUAAUUCUUAGUUAGCAAUGUUUCCGAUUUCCUGUAACUAUCUCCCAUCUGAAGCUUAAAACCGUUUUAUUUUCUCCUCAUGUUUAGCAGGUGAUUUUGUUUCCUACUUCACAGAGAAAAACAGCUCCCUUUCAGCUACCCUCCUUCACUUCCAAACAUAUAUAUCUACACCCAUAUUUUUACCUUUUCUCUUUUUUUGAGAAAAGAAGACCAGUAUUACUUCUCUUCACAUCUUUACUUAUUCUCUUGGUGCCACUUCUUUUUUUGCUUCCUUUGGGACUUUCCAUCAAUUAUCCCUUCUUUCUCUUGGAUUUGCAAGCUCUCCCUCUUCCUGAAAUUAUAUUGAACAUUUCUUCCUUUCACUAUACUUCUUGACAGUAUAGUUGUACAUCCACUGUAUCCACUCCACCUCUGGUUCAUUCUGUAACUUAUAGUCUAGCUCCUUCUCAGUGUUCAACUGAGAUUGCUCUAUUUAAAGAUUCCGUUACUUGAUAAACUUGAACAGUCUAGUCUCCCAAAACAGUCUAGUCUUUUGACUCUAAAACAGUAUUUCCCAGUGUGGUUAAUGGGUGUCACCUGAAAAAAACAGUGCUGCAUUCAAAUAAAUUGGAAAAUCAUGGGUUAUAACAUUGCACAGAUUUCUCUACUGCAGCAUUUAUUUGAGCUCUAAAUGUGCCCAUGAUCAUUGUGAUUUCCAAGAGGAGGAUAUAGUAAUCCUUUUUUAUAUGGAUCAUCUUGAAAAAUCAAUGUUCUGAGAGACAUAAUUUGGGAAACAGUGCUUAGUUGAGUGUGGUCCAAGGAUGCUUGUAUUAGAAUCACCUGGGAUGCCUGUUAUUGCUAUGAAAGAUGGUAGCUAUGUCUCAGUAUGUCAGAAGCUCUUCUAUCAGAAGCUAAAUGAGAAUGGCCUUUGAAGGAGCAUGGAGAAGUUAACAUGUGAGGAUGUCAGAGCAUAGGACAGAGGGUGUCUGGGUCCUUAACACUUUAGGGCCACCAUAUUAUCCCUGGACUGCUUAGCAUGGGCUGUUAUAUGAUAGAGACAUAAAUGUCUUUCUUAUAUAAGCCACUGCUAUUUUUGCUUUGGUGAUGCAACCAAACCUGAAAUCUAAUUAAUUCAGAGAGAAACAGAGAAUUUAUUUUCUGCCUAAUCAUGGUGAGAUUAAUUGUUCUCUGUUGUUUAUCAAAAGGGAUAGAUGUUUCAGUUAUGUUUUUCUGCUAUUCAAGGUAUAAAAGAUAAGGACUCUCUUUUCAAAGUA